rnacentral:tRNA from 1 species
GGUUGUGUGGCUUAGUGGUAGAGUGCUUGCCUCACAUGUAUGAAGUACUGAGUUCGAUCCUCAGCACCACAU